AGUUUAUUACUACAGCGAAUCCAAGCAGUGACGGUGUUAACUCUGCAAGACUGGGAUUUCAGUGGCUGUUGUCAUUGUGUGUUUGUUAUUUGUUGCAACUGUUUUUUUCAUCAUCCUGAGUUUCAUCGCGCAAUCUUGAAUCAAACUAUUCUCUUUCUCUACCAUCAAUAAAGAAGCACUUACUCUUGCUUUAAUGCAGUUGCAUGUAAACUACAUCAAGCGUGCCUCUUUUGAUUUUCUAAUGCCUGUGUUAUACGAAUUUUGGUCGCGUCGAAUGCAAUUAAGACAAUAGAUAGUGAGAUGAUAAACCUCAUUAAGCUUCAUUAUCUAUUGCUUGAAUUGCAUUCGACGUGACCGAAAUUCAACGUAUAAAAUAGGCCUAAAUUGAUUGCAAUUUUCCUCAUUACCUUUGCUAUUAAACAAGCCGCAUUGCAAACCCUUAAGGGAAUUUGCAAUGUUGCUAGAAAUGCUAAAAGCCGAUUAAAUUUUCCUCAGUUCUUGUUAGAAGUCAUUAACUCCCUGUUACAAAUUCCUAACUUCCUGUUCUGCUCUAUUCUUCACGUUGCAAUUGGCUAACAAAAAUAGUCCACCAAUGACAACGCUCAGAACAGAACAGGAAGUUAGGAAAUUUAAAAUGAGUUUUUUGCAUUGGAAAUUUGGAAUAUUGCAACAGCCGGUAGGAACAUUGAAAAUUUCUAAAUGAGUUAGAAAGUCAAAAGAGGAACGCUUCACGUAGUUUAUUUGUAAACAC